rnacentral:rRNA from 1 species
AGUAAUCUGCUCAUGGUUAAUAAAUAGCCGCAGGUAUACCCACUGUGCUAAGGUAGCAUAAUCAUUAGCCUUUUAAUUAAAGGCUAGAAUGAAAGAUUUUACAUUUUAAUUACUUUUUUUUAAAAAAUUUAUUAAAAUUAAACUAAGAAUAAGAAUGUUCUUAUAAAUAAAAUAGACGAUAAGACCCUAUUGAACUUUACUAAAGUUAAGCUGGGGAAGCUAAUUAAAAACAAUUUUAAUUAAUUUUUAAAUAAAAAUAGCCAAUUAAAUUGAUUUUAACAAGUUACCAUAGGGAUAACAGCAUAAUAUUUAUUUAAAGUUCUUAUUUAAAUAAAAGAUUGUGACCUCGAUGUUGAAUUAAUUUAACUCCAAAACGCAAUAGUAUUGAAAGUAGGUCUGUUCGACCUUUAAAUAAUUACAUGAUCUGAUUCCAAACCGGA